UACGUAGGGCGCAAGCGUUGUCCGGAAUCAUUGGGCGUAAAGAGCUCGUAGGCGGCCUGUUGCGUCCGCUGUGAAAUCCCGGGGCUUAACCCCGGGCGUGCAGUGGAUACGGGCUGGCUGGAGGCAGGCAGGGGAGAACGGAAUUCCCGGUGUAGCGGUGAAAUGCGCAGAUAUCGGGAGGAACACCGGUGGCGAAGGCGGUUCUCUGGGCCGAUAUUGACGCUGAGGAGCGAAAGCGUGGGGAGCGAACAGG
rnacentral:rRNA from 1 species